rnacentral:rRNA from 1 species
GUCGAGAAUUUUUCACAAUGGGGGAAACCCUGAUGGAGCGACGCCGCGUGGGGGAUGAAUGGCUUCGGCCCGUAAACCCCUGUCAUUCGGGAACAAACCUUCCGCCCUAACACGGCGGAAGUUGAUAGUACUGGAAGAGGAAGGGACGGCUAACUCUGUGCCAGCAGCCGCGGUAAUACAGAGGUCCCAAGCGUUGUUCGGAUUCACUGGGCGUAAAGGGUGCGUAGGUGGUGGGGUAAGUUUGAGGUGAAAGCUCCGGGCUUAACCCGGAAAUUGCCUUGAAGACUAUCCCGCUAGAGGAUCGGAGGGGAGACUGGAAUUCUCGGUGUAGCAGUGAAAUGCGUAGAUAUCGAGAGGAACACCAGUGGCGAAGGCGAGUCUCUGGACGAUACCUGACACUGAGGCACGAAAGCCAGGGGAGCAAACGGGAUUAGAAACCCCUGUAGUCC